UACUGGUAUAGAGACAGACAAGUGGACCA
rnacentral:piRNA from 1 species